GGCAUCACAUUCAUAUAUAAAGCCCUGACAGUCACAUGACUUCCUCUUUCUUUGAUGCGAAAAACAGUCUAUUAUAACGUCAGGGAAUUCAAAUAACAGUCCUGAGUAACGUGUAGCACAUAACUUGAAACCUUCCAGCUUUAUCUUGUCGAAUCCAUCUAUGAUGAUUACGCUGAAAAGAACAUAAAUACGUGAAAGGUGAUGGAAA